CCUACGGGAGGCAGCAGUGAGGAAUAUUGGUCAAUGGUCGGGAGACUGAACCAGCCAAGCCGCGUGAGGGAGGAAGGUACAGAGUAUCGUAAACCUCUUUUGUCAGGGAACAAAGACUGGGACGCGUCCCCGGAUGAGUGUACCUGAAGAAAAAGCAUCGGCUAACUGCGUUCCAGCAGCCGCGGUAAUACGGAGGAUGCGAGCGUUAUCCGGUUUGUUUUGGUUUAAAGGGGGCGCAGGGGGUCUGUUAAGUCAGCGGUCAAAGCCCGGGGCCAAACCCGGGCCCGCCGUUGAAACUGGCAGUCUCGAGUUGGAGAGAGGUAUGCGGAAUGCGCGGUGUAGCGGUGAAAUGCAUAGAUAUCGCGCAGAACUCCGAUUGCGAAGGCAGCAUGCCGGCUCCACACUGACGCUGAGGCACGAAAGCGUGGGUAUCGAACAGGAUUAGAUACCCGAGUAGUC
rnacentral:rRNA from 1 species